GACGAACGCUGGCGGCGGGCUUAACACAUGCAAGUCGAACGGAAAGGCCCUGCUUUUGUGGGGUUCUCGAGUGGCGAACGGGUGAGUAACACGUGAGUAACCUUCCCUUGACUUUGGGAUAACUUCAGGAAACUGGGGCUAAUACCGGAUAGGAGCUCCUGCUGCAUGGUGGGGGUUGGAAAGUUUCGGCGGUUGGGGAUGGACUCGCGGCUUAUCAGCUUGUUGGUGGGGUAGUGGCUUACCAAGGCUUUGACGGGUAGCCGGACUGAGAGGGUGACCGGCCACAUUGGGACUGAGAUACGGCCCAGACUCCUACGGGAGGCAGCAGUGGGGAAUAUUGCACAAUGGGCGGAAGCCUGAUGCAGCAACGCCGCGUGCGGGAUGACGGCCUUCGGGUUGUAAACCGCUUUCGCCUGUGACGAAGCGUGAGUGACGGUAAUGGGUAAAGAAGCACCGGCUAACUACGUG
rnacentral:rRNA from 1 species